rnacentral:lncRNA from 1 species
CAUCGAUGUGCAGUGUUCUCCCCGGCGCCGAUUCACCAUUUCGAGGUUUUUUAACCACUUCCUCAAAAGGACGUCCUUUGGUCGAAGUCAACGAAAAGCUCGCAAUCAUGAUUGCUGACCUGAUGAAGAUCUCGAAAGAUGAAUCUGUAAAAAUACAUUCUGUGCUAAUAAAUGCUUUUAGCAAUUUUA